ACUAUAGUGUUGAUCGGCAGAGAAAUAGUUAGCCAAAGACGUUGACGUCGCUUAGCAACCGAAGAAGCUGGCGUUGUUGUGAAGGGCCCAUGCAAGUGAACGGAGCGUUCCACGGCAUUGAGAAGAGCCGUGUCAUAGGGUUUUCACCGACGUCACGUCUUGGGCAGUAACCCGGAUGCGCGGCCAUGUUGGAGGCACUCGAUGUAAACACUGCGCUGUAAUGCAUGUAAACUCUGCGCUGGAUAAACGAAAACGCUGCGAUGGAUAAAGGUCAUAAACCCAAGAAAAGCUCGUCAAAAGGCGUUAUAGAUGCAAAGGCAUACAGGGAAGGACUUGGACCGUGCGAAAAAGCACGAUAUUUGAGGAAGUUAGAUUUGAUUGGUGGUGCAGAUCCCUACGAGUUGGCUCCCUCGUCUUGGAUCAAUGACGACCCGGAGAGUCUUCCGUCUGUUUGUUAUCCUGACAUCGUCAACUACCUGGUUUUCUCGCCAAGCCCAUACACAGCGGAAGACCUUAAAGCGUACAAAAGUUUGGAGGCCUAUAACCAGAUGGUGUGUGGAUGGGUGAGGGAGAUUCAAACCAAGUCAUCGACGACAGAUGUGUUGCGAAGGCCAAAGUUCUCCAUUCUCAAUCAAUCCGAGAAACACCCCUGGAACCCUGGAUAAUCGCUGAGAAGUCUGGUCGGAUACUUGGAGCCCACUGCACGUGUAUGGCUGGCCUCGGAGAGACGUGCACACAUGUUGCUGCAUUAUUGUUUCUCAUAAAAGAAACAGUGAAGUUGGGGGACUCAAAGACAGUGACGCAAGAGAAGGCGUAUUGGCUGUUACCUACUGCACUGUCUAAGGUGGAAUACAGGGAAUGCCGGAAGAUUGACUUCACUGUAACCAAGAGGUCUCAAGUAAAAGAGCUGGCAGGAUGAAAUGUGCUGCUCUUGGACAGCCACUUGAGGACCCAAGUGAUACUUCCACUUCUUCUACUGUUACAGUUGGGAAACCGCAACAGCCAACCAGUGUUGAACUGUCAUCAUUAUUCAGUGCUCUUAGCGCGACUGGAUCAUUUUACGUGUGUUGACAAUUUACCUCUUGUGUUGACGGAAUUGCGAAAAGACGAAGCAGUUCACAUGGACUAUAGUGAGCUAUUGUCCACAUGCAAAGAUGUUGAAAUUUCUGUUUCAGAGGAGCAAGCAAAGGCAGUUGAGGCCGCUACAAGGGAUCAAGCUUCCUCUAAACCAGGGGUACUCAAGUAGAAAUGAUGAGGGGCCACAAAAAAUUUUUUCAGUGACUCAAGGGGCCGGUCGGUAUACGUGUGACUGAGGCCGAUAUAUGCUCUGUUUUAGACGUAACGCGUAAGCACGUAAGAUACAUAACCCCCCCUUGCGCGGUAAAAUAUCCCCCCUUACAUGCUUAAGUGCGUCGGCCAAAAUUCCUGACUAUGCGACUAAAACACUAAGGCCCUACGCAGCUCGCAAAGACUGUGAUUGGCCAGCUA
ensembl:lncRNA